CAAGGUUUCCGUAGGUGAACCUGCGGAAGGAUCAUUACAGUAUUCUUUUGCCAGCGCUUAAUUGCGCGGCGAAAAACCUUACACACUAUGUUUUUUUAAUUUGAAACUAUUGCUUUGGUCUGGCUUAGAAAUAGGUUGGGCCAAAGGUUUUAUCAAAACUUCAAUAUUUAUUAUUGAAUUGUUAUUUUUAAUUUUAUGUCAAUUUGUUGAUUAAUAUCAAAAAUCUUCAAAACUUUCAACAACGGAUCUCUUGGUUCUCGCAUCGAUGAAGAACGCAGCGAAAUGCGAUAAGUAAUAUGAAUUGCAGAUUUUCGUGAAUCAUCGAAUCUUUGAACGCACAUUGCGCCCUUUGGUAUUCCAAAGGGCAUGCCUGUUUGAGCGUCAUUUCUCUCUCAAAUCUUCGGAUUUGGUUUUGAGUGAUACUCUUAGUCAGACUAAGCGUUUGCUUGAAAUGUAUUGGCAUGAGUGGUACUAGAUAGUGCUGAACUGUUUUCAAUGUAUUAGGUUUAUCCAACUCAUUGACCAGUAAAGUAUUUGUUUAUUACACAGGCUCGGCCUUACAACAACAAACAAAGUUUGACCUCAAAUCAGGUAGGACUACCCGCUGAACUUAAGCAUAUCAA
rnacentral:rRNA from 1 species